AGGGUUAAACAGUACGUGAAAUUGUUGAAAGGGAAGCGCUUGUGACCAGACUUGGGCGCGGCGAAUCAUCCGGGGUUCUCUCCGGUGCACUUCGCCGUGUUCAGGCCAGCAUCAGUUCGGCGCGGGGGAACAAGGCUUCGGGAACGUGGCUGCUCCGGCAGUGUUAUAGCCCGUUGCAUAAUACCCUGCGCUGGACUGAGGACCGCGCAUCUGCAAGGAUGCUGGCGUAAUGGUCACCAGCGAC
rnacentral:rRNA from 1 species